GACGAACGCUGGCGGCGUGCUUAACACAUGCGAGUCGAACGGAAAGGCCCUGCUUUUGUGGGGUGCUCGAGUGGCGAACGGGUGAGUAACACGUGAGUAACCUGCCCUUGACUUUGGGAUAACUUCAGGAAACUGGGGCUAAUACCGGAUAGGAGCUCCUGCUGCAUGGUGGGGGUUGGAAAGUUUCGGCGGUUGGGGAUGGACUCGCGGCUUAUCAGCUUGUUGGUGGGGUAGUGGCUUACCAAGGCUUUGACGGGUAGCCGGCCUGAGAGGGUGACCGGCCACAUUGGGGCUGAGAUACGGCCCAGACUCCUACGGGAGGCAGCAGUGGGGAAUAUUGCACAAUGGGCGGAAGCCUGAUGCAGCAACGCCGCGUGCGGGAUGACGGCCUUCGGGUUGUAAACCGCUUUCGCCUGUGACGAAGCGUGAGUGACGGUAAUGGGUAAAGAAGCACCGGCUAACUACGUGC
rnacentral:rRNA from 1 species